CGACAACUGACGCUGACGCCCGAAACUGUGGGGAUCAAACAGGAUUAGAUACCCUGGUAGUCAACACCGUAAACGAUGGAUACUAGGUGUAGGAGGUAUCGACCCCUUCUGUGCCGCAGUUAACACAAUAAGUAUCCCACCUGGGGAGUACGACCGCAAGGUUGAAACUCAAAGGAAUUGACGGGGGCCCGCACAAGCAGUGGAGUAUGUGGUUUAAUUCGAAGCAACGCGAAGAACCUUACCUGGGCUUGACAUCCCUGGAAUCGAGUAGAGAUACUUGAGUGCCUUCGGGAAUCAGGUGACAGGUGGUGCAUGGUUGUCGUCAGCUCGUGUCGUGAGAUGUUGGGUUAAGUCCCGCAACGAGCGCAACCCCUAUUGUCAGUUGCCAUCAUUAAGUUGGGCACUCUGGCGAGACUGCCGGUGACAAAUCGGAGGAAGGUGGGGACGACGUCAAAUCAUCAUGCCCCUUAUGCCCAGGGCUACACACGUACUACAAUGGCCGAUAACAAAGUGCAGCGAAACCGUGAGGUGGAGCGAAUCACAAAACUCGGUCUCAGUUCAGAUUGCAGGCUGCAACUCGCCUGCAUGAAGUUGGAAUUGCUAGUAAUCGCGGAUCAGAAUGCCGCGGUGAAUACGUUCCCGGGCCUUGUACACACCGCCCGUCACACCAUGAGAGUCGAUAACACCCGAAGCCUGUGAGCUAACCUUUUAGGAGGCAGCAGUCGAAGGUGGGGUUGAUGAUUGGGGUGAAGUCGUAACAAGGUAGCCGUAUCGGAAGGUGCGGCUG
rnacentral:rRNA from 1 species